UCAUUUGUAAAAGCUUUGAAAAUGUAUUACCGAAUGAAUUGUAUUUCCAAGGAAGUGAUGGAGGGGACCCGAACUCCCAGCUAAGUCUUGAACAAGGACCUAGUGGCACCUCUUCUCAAGGAAGCCAGACCUGGUCACCUGUGGCUCCCUCCUCAACUGAGGGUCUGUUCUUGCUGACUCUAUAAACAUUGCUAUCCCUUCUCAUAGCAUGUGAGCACGGGGGUGCUCUUUCCUUGUGUUCUGAUGUCCACAACAUUAUCUACAUCCAUAGUUUCUCCAAGUUUAGGAUUAAAAUAUUGGGGCCUUGGUCCUCUGGGUUGCGUAGAAAGGUUCUGACUUCUGUCUGUGUUGCCUGUGGAUGCGGAUCCACAGUGCUUUGCCUGUGCUUUGGCUAUGACUAGAAACUGCCUCCCUGCUCUGCUCUUAUGUCCAAUGGUGGUUAGAAGGAUGUGAUGAGAAUGCUCCUUCUUUGAGGCAACAGAUUUUCCCCCUUGGGUUUACCUCAUCUGCUCAUGACCCAGCUGGACUCCCUCUAUGAGACCUUCCUUUGCUAUCACUGGGGUAACAGGUUGGGAAUCCCUCUCUAGACAAGAUGGGUCACUAAAAAAAAACCCUUUUUUAUUGUUGUUAUUUGUUUGUUUCUUUGUUUGUUGAAACAGGGUUUCCUUGUGUAGCCUUG